GUAGGUCGCAACGCUAUUCAGGACGACCGCACGUGAGAUCUUAUUUUCAUCUAUUCACAGGACGCGAUACUGGAAUUAAAGGACCAUGUCGGGAUUCUCAGUCAAGAUAACAAGUACCAGAACUCCAUGCCAUCUUUUGGAGGGUUUAACUGUUAUAUUCCGCCUCUUUGCGGAAAUAUGAUGGUUUAAACCUUAGUAGUUUAUUUCAUAUUAAUGUAUGAAACAAUAACACUUUACUUUUAUGUUAAUGGUUUGUAACCGACACACUAAACUUAUGUUGUAAUCUUUUGAAAAACUUAUGUAAUGGCAAUGGAGUAUGUUUUAUUCAUAUA